UUCUAUUACCAUUUCCACAAUUAUUUAUUGGAAUAAUUUGUUUAUGUUCGUUUUUUGCAUAAGAUACAUGUUGUGUGGCAAGCACAACAGAUACACUCGACCCGAGAAUGUUUUCCAUCCCAUCCUAUACAGGCCCAUAGGCCAGAUAUCGGAAAUAAAACUCGCCAUCUCCGUAUCGGUAAUCCUGUCUUUGCUCGCAACGGUAAUAGCCAAGUCAAAGAGUGGUCUUAUGGCAAAGAUGGCAAGAAGCGGUCACUUCUGCUUAUAGAAGUUACUUCCAAACUUUCCGGAUAGCGAAUUGAUGAAUUUUGGAGAAAGUUAAUGACUGGACGACCUAAUAGAAAAAUCCAAUGUUACUGGAAGACGUCGGACAAACCGGUGAAGACUCCCAGAUGCUCGGCGCAAAACAAUGCAGAAUUGGAACCUAAAAUAUCCCCCCGAGAUGUAAAUGAAAUUGGCCAAUUCGGAAAUUCUGAAGACUCCUUCAUGCCGAGUUUUAUACGACAAGAUACGACAUUAUUAUAAUUAUAUAAGCUAUUUUCAAUUUAUGUAUUCAUUCACUUUAAUAAACGUAAAUAAAAUUUGUAUUUUUUGCUUUGAAAACAAAAAAUGAUAAUAA